rnacentral:rRNA from 1 species
GACGAACGCUGGCGGCGUGCUUAACACAUGCAAGUCGAACGGUGAAGGGAUCAGCUUGCUGGUUCUGGAUGAGUGGCGAACGGGUGAGUAACACGUGAGUAACCUGCCCCCUUCUUCUGGAUAACCGCAUGAAAGUGUGGCUAAUACGGGAUAUUCUGGGUCUGUCGCAUGAUGGGUCUGGGAAAGAUAUUGUUUCGGUGGGGGAUGGGCUCGCGGCCUAUCAGCUUGUUGGUGGGGUGAUGGCCUACCAAGGCGGUGACGGGUAGCCGGCCUGAGAGGGUGGACGGUCACACGGGGACUGAGACACGGCCCAGACUCCUACGGGAGGCAGCAGUGGGGAAUAUUGCACAAUGGGCGCAAGCCUGAUGCAGCGACGCCGCGUGAGGGAUGGAGGCCUUCGGGUUGUAAACCUCUUUCGCCAGUGAAGCAGGCCUGCUCCUUGUGGGUGGAUUGACGGUAGCUGGAUAAGAAGCGCCGGCUAACUACGUG